ACGAACGCUGGCGGCGUGCUUAACACAUGCAAGUCGAACGGAAAGGCCCUGCGUUUGUGGGGUGAUCGAGUGGCGAACGGGUGAGUAACAGGUGAGUAACCUGCCCUUGUCUUUGGGAUAACUUCAGGAAACUGGGGCUAAUACCGGAUAGGAGCUGCUGUUGCAUGGUGGGGGUUGGAAAGUUUCGGCGGUUGGGGUUGGACUCGCGGCUUAUCAGCUUGUUGGUGGGGUAGUGGCUUACCAAGGCUUGGACGGGUAGCCGGCCUGAGAGGGUGACCGGCCACAUUGGGACUGAGAUACGGCCCAGACUCCUACGGGAGGCAGCAGUGGGGAAUAUUGCACAAUGGGCGGAAGCCUGAUGCAGAAACGCCGCGUGCGGGAUGACGGCCUUCGGGUUGUAAACCGCUUUCGCCUGUGACGAAGCGUGAGUGACGGUAAUGGGUAAAGAAGCACCGGCUAACUACGUG
rnacentral:rRNA from 1 species